GAUGAAGAACGCAGCGAAAUGCGAUAAGUAGUGUGAAUUGCAGAAUUCAGUGAAUCAUCGAAUCUUUGAACGCACAUUGCGCCCCUUGGUAUCCCGAGGGGCAUGCCUGUUCGAGCGUCAUUUCACCACUCAAGCCUGGCUUGGUGUUGGGCGACGUCCUCUUUGGGGACGCGCCUCGAAACGCUCGGCGGCGUGGCACCGGCUUUAAGCGUAGCAGAAUCUUUCGCUUUGGAAGUCGGGGCCCCGUCUGCCGGAAGACCUGCUCGCAAGGUUGACCUCGGAUCAGGCAGGGAUACCCGCUGAACUUAAGCAUAUCAAGCGGAGGA
rnacentral:misc_RNA from 1 species